rnacentral:lncRNA from 1 species
GAGCAAUUAGAUUACCAGAAAAUGUGCUGUAAUUAUUUGUGCUACCAUGAACAGUAUAAGUGGAAUGAGACUUUACAGCUAUUUGAUCCCCUUUCUGUACAUCCAAUAUCAUACUGAGUGUUCCUUGUUGGUAAGUAGAACCUUUAAUGUACACACUGGAGACUAUGGUGUCAUUGAGACAAAGAGAUGCAACCAAAUAUUGUCCUUUAUCACUCAUCACCACUGAAGAAAAUUGAUAUACUCCUGCAGUAGGUACAGUAUAUAUACCAGUGCUUGGGUUGUAGCCGUUUUGUUUGUUAGUAAAAACUUUGUCGAAUUUUAUUAUCUCUUUUUUUGAGAGUGAUUGAGACUUUGUUGAGGCAGCUGAAAAGGCGGGAAGUUUCUUCCCAUUGAACAAUGCACAACCUUUAUAUACAAAAAAUAUACAUAUGUUAAUUAUAUAUUAAUUCGAGUAAUGAUCAAGUUACCGAUAAUCUACAUGGUAAAUGUAAGCUAUUUUGUAUGUUUAAAGUUUACUGGUAUGUGUUCAGAACUACUUUUGAUAAAAGUUUUUACUUUACUAUUGAUAUUUGGUUUGCUGUUGCAUUUGAAUUCCUUCAGUUUUUUUAUAGCAGAAAUGUAAGAAUUUUUAUUAUAGAUAGAUUUUCCAUCUCCUGAAAGGGACCAUCAUAUUUACAUAUUUUGUUAAAUUUGAAUAGAAGUAUGUCAUUCACAUGGUAAAUUUUGACAAUACCAGAAUUAGAAGUCCGUGAAAAUCAAAGUAACAGCUACAAAAAGCUGUUAAUGUCGCUCACUUCUAGACAAUUAAUCUGAGUAAAACAGACGUCAUACACCUUAUCGCUAAUCCCGGCUGACCGGGCCGCUUGAACUUUUGACGCAUACAACUAUCACUUUUCCAUUGUGGCGUCAGAUAUUUUGCUUUAUGGCGUCAAAAUUAUGUAUUAUGCCCCAACCUAUGUACGAUAGUAAGAAGUAUGACGUAAAACGUAAAAUAACGAAAAUACCAAACUACAAGGAAAAUACAAAACGGAAAGUCCCUAAUCAAAUGACAAAACCAAAAGCUCAAACAUAUCAAAUGAAUGAUUAACAACUGUUAUGGAGACUUGGCUCAGUCAUUUUCUUAAAUAGGUCCAGUCUGCGUGUAGCCCAGUUCCCCUGUACAUCCUUUAUCACGUUAAAGUUGGAUAUGUUUAUUAUGUACGAACUUUGAAAUAUAUGCCAUGAAAAAAAAUUGAGCUGGAUUUCAUGAAGGAAUGAUAAGGUUAAAGAUUCGUUUUAAUUUAUUUUACCAUGCAGUCGUGUUCACUUAGAUUUUUAGAAUUAAACAAACUAAAUUUGUUAAUUCUUGUUUAAACUCUUUUUAAAAUAUAGUCCACUAUAAGGAUAUUAACAUAGAUUUUGUGGUUGACUGAACCAGGGAACAGUCAUACUGUGCGCUGAGCGGGGCAUGAUGUCUUAUGGACACUUAUUAAUUUAUUGUUCAAAGUAAUGUCGCUUUACUAAAGAACUGUUAAUGGUUAGAAUCUGUGUAAUUGAUCCGUAAAUUAAGAGUAUGUUAAAACAAGAUAAAAUUGAAAAUAAUAUAUUUCCGGGCAAUAGAACCUUAAAUGCAAAAACCACAGUUUCGUUUAAUACCAAAGACUGUGUUAAAAGGCAUAAAAUUCCUUAUUUGUAUUUGUGGCCCACAUAUGGUUUAUGUCAAUAUUGACGAAUCAUAGCAUAUUAACUUUGGGACUACAAUAGAUAGAUUGACAUUGAAAACAGCAAAAAUGAUCAGUACAAGAUCCACAAAUUUUGUGGUAUGACAAAAACUAUCAACUGACUCUGUCAAGAAGCUUUUGUUGAUACCGGGUAAAUAUAGUUUACAUGUGUUUUUCCUUAUAUCCUACAACUAUUUAUAGACAGAUAUACAAUGAAGGACACAUUAUCAUCAAGGUUAAAUAACCGACGAAGGCACAUAACUGUUACUGCCACUUAACUGUUACUUGGAGUUAUUUUCAUUAAAAGGCUUGUUUUUAUCCAGUAUUUGCAUGUUUGUUACAAAGAUCUCGAUUACUGAAACUGCUCAACCAACGUGGCUUAAAUGUUCCUUGGUGAAUACCUAUAUAAGUUUACAUUAAAUAAAGCAGUCCAUUAACCCAUUCAGCUGUCAUGACUAAAAAAAAAAGAACUUUGUGUAAAAUAAAAAUAAUUGUGUCAUAAAUUAAACACUGAAGUAGAAAAAAAUACCGGUAUUUGAAACUUACCUGAAUCUUUCUUUAUCAACAUUUCAACUAGAUCUUUGAGAAGAGAAUUCUCU